rnacentral:rRNA from 1 species
AAUUGAACGCUGGCGGCAGGCUUAACACAUGCAAGUCGAGCGGGCGAGGUUGCUUCGGUAACUGAGCUAGCGGCGGACGGGUGAGUAAUGCUUAGGAAUCUGCCUAUUAGGGGGGGACAACAUUCCGAAAGGGAUGCUAAUACCGCAUACGUCCUACGGGAGAAAGCAGGGGAUCAUUUGACCUUGCGCUAAUAAAUGACCCUAAGUCGGAUUAGCUAGUUGGGGGGGUAAGGGCCUACCAAGGCGACAAUCUGUAGCGGGUCUGAAAGGAUGAUCCGCCACACUGGGACUGAGACACGGCCCAAACUCCUACGGGAGGCAGCAGUGGGGAAUAUUGGACAAUGGGGGGAACCCUGAUCCACCCAUGCCGCGUGUGUGAAGAAGGCCUUUUGGUUGUAAAGCACUUUAAGUGGGGAGGAGGCUUACCUGGUUAAUACCUGGGCUAAGUGGACGUUACCCACAGAAUAAGCACCGGCUAACUCUGUG